rnacentral:rRNA from 1 species
UCCGUAGUUGAACCUGCGGAGGGAUCAUUACCAGAGUGCCCUAGGCUCUCCAACCCAUUGUGAACUUACCAAACGUUCCCUCGGCGGGCUCAGCGCGCGGUGGCCUCCGGGCCUCCGGGCGUCCGCCGGGGAAAACCAAACCCUGAUUUAAUCGUAUUUCUCUGAGGGGCGAAAGCCCGAAAACAAAAUGAAUCAAAACUUUCAACAACGGAUCUCUUGGCGCUGGCAUCGAUGAAGAACGCAGCGAAAUGCGAUAAGUAAUGUGAAUUGCAGAAUUCAGUGAAUCAUCGAAUCUUUGAACGCACAUUGCGCCCGCCGGCACUCCGGCGGGCAUGCCUGUCCGAGCGUCAUUUCAACCCUCAGGCCCACCCUUCCGGGGGAGCGGGCCUGGUUCUGGGGAUCGGCGGCCCUCGCGGCCCCCGUCCCUCAAAUUCAGUGGCGGUCGCGCCGCAGCCUCCCCUGCGUAGUAGCACAACCUCGCACCGGAGAGCGGAACGACCACGCCGUAAAACACCCAAUUUUUUAAGGUUGACCUCGGAUCAGGUAGGAAUACCCGCUGAACUUAAGCAUAUCAAUAAGCGGAGGAA